CCUACUGGCGUCAGCAGUGGGGAAUAUUGCACAAUGGGGGAAACCCUGAUGCAGCGACGCCGCGUGAGUGAAGAAGUAAUUCGUUACGUAAAGCUCUAUCAGCAGGGACGAAACUGACGGUACCUGAGUAAGAAGCCCCGGCUAACUACGUGCCAGCAGCCGCGGUAAUACGUAGGGGGCAAGCGUUAUCCGGAUUUACUGGUUGUAAAGGGAGCGUAGACGGCAGCUCAAGUCUGGAGUGAAAUGCCGGGGCCCAACCCCGGAACUGCUCUCGAAACUGGGAAGCUGGAGUGCAGGGGAGGUAAGCGGAAUUCCUGGGGUAGCGGUGAAAUGCGUAGAUAUCAGGAGGAACACCGGCGGCGAAGGCGGCUUACUGGACUGUAACUGACGUUGAGGCUCGAAGGCGUGGGGAGCAAACAGGAUUAGAUACCCCAGUAGUC
rnacentral:rRNA from 1 species